AACGAACGCUGGCGGCAGGCUUAACACACGCAAGUCGAACGGGUGCAGCAAUGCAUCAGUGGCAGACGGGUGAGUAACACGUGGGAACCUUCCUAGGGGUACGGAACAACUCAGGGAAACUUGAGCUAAUACCGGAUGCGUCCGUGAGGAGAAAGAUUUAUCGCCCUUAGACGGGCCCGCGUCGGAUUAGCUAGCUGGUGGGGUAACGGCCUACCAAGGCGACGAUCCGUAGCUGAUCUUAGAGGAUGAUCAGCCACACUGGGACUGAGACACGGCCCAGACUCCUACGGGAGGCAGCAGUGGGGAAUCUUGGACAAUGGGCGCAAGCCUGAUCCAGCCAUGCCGCGUGAGUGAAGAAGGUCUUCGGAUCGUAAAGCUCUUUUGCCAGGGACGAUAAUGACGGUACCUGGAGAAUAAGCCCCGGCAAACUUCGUGCCAGCAGCCGCCGUAACAC
rnacentral:rRNA from 1 species